rnacentral:rRNA from 1 species
UACGAAGGGGGCUAGCGUUGCUCGGAAUUACUGGGCGUAAAGCGCACGUAGGCGGACCGAUAAGUCGGGGGUGAAAUCCUGGAGCUCAACUCCAGAACUGCCUUCGAAACUGCCGGUCUUGAGUUCGGGAGAGGUGAGUGGAACUGCGAGUGUAGAGGUGAAAUUCGUAGAUAUGGGGAGGAACACCGGUGGCGAAGGCGGCCACCUGGACGGUAACUGACGCUGAGACGCGAAAGCGUGGGGAGCAAACAGG